CCUAUAAAGCCAAGUACACCAAGUAGUCUUCAAAGAGGAAGUGGGAGAUGAGAUUGUGAGUCAAAUAAGCAAAAAUCUUAACACCAAAGAAACAAACAGUGUAAAAACUAGCUUCCUCAACUGAAGACUGUAUAACUUGAAAUACUAGGUGAUAUGUUUGGGUCCUCAAAAUUCCACAAAAUAAACAUGGUACAUAUUCUAGAACUAUAACUUUAUUCAAUGGCAAUUGACUUGAAAUGUUUUUAGGUGAACACAAAUGUAUUAUGGAGUAGAAUGUAAAUGUGUGGAAUACUUUUCAAAUGAUAGAUGCAAUUGUGUUCUUUGAAAUUAUCUAGAAAUAUGAAAUAAUUGUCCACAAAUAAUAAGAGUAGUUUAUCAGAAAAAUUGCAAAUUAUUUACCAAAACAAAAACACACAGAAUUGAGUCUGGCAGUAGAAUAAAUAUAUUUUUUAAAUAAGAUAAAGAACAGAAAAAUAACUGGAUAAGUAGGUCAUUGAAGCCAUUUUUAUCUCCUGGCACACUGCUACCUACUCCCUAAAUUGCAUUAGAUUUCAUAUAGUAGAAAUAUUAAAAGUUGUUUAAGGUUCCUAAGAAGAAACUACAACACGAAGAUUAAUCUGAUACAAAUAUGCAGGAUGGAAUAACAGGAAGUGGGAGUGGGAGGGAGGGGUGUCUUGGGAGCACUACAGUAAGAGGAUUAUUGCAGGAGUCCAAACUUCCACUGAUGAAGACAUGGAUUGAAAUGAAGCGCGUAUGUGCUCACAGUUAACAACAACAACAAGAAAAGGCUGGAGAAAACAGCGGUAAGAGCACUAUGAGAUAAAUAUGAAGACUAAAUAUACAGUUAACAACAACAACAACAAGAAAAGGCUGGAGAAAACAGAGGUCCUGCUGGUCAUUGAGAGAAAAGGUGUGCACACAGGUUGGGCAAUAAGAGAAUCAAACAGUUCUCCACCAGCCAUUAACACCAGGUGUGGGUUGGUCAUUGGAAAAAGGAAGAUAGCAUGGGGAGUGUGGAUAGAGCAAAUGCAUCCCCUCUAUUAGAUAAUUCAUGGACAACAUAAAAGCUUCACCUGAGAGCCAAGGCAACACACUUCAAUGGACUGUAACAAGCCAUUUGUGGAGAUGCAAAUGUGGGUCCACAGGUUAUACUUUGAAUAGCACAUUUCUACGUAAUCUGUGCGCCACUAAAAGGAAGACACAAGCCUCCCAGCCUACCAUCAUUAACUCCUUGUGGAACAAAAUGAAAAAAACAUAGAAACAAAUUUUGUGUGUUCAAAUGCUUAAAACCUAUCUCCCUAACAUUACCAAAGAUUAACUUGGCAAUGCAUACUUACCUCUUACUAAUUUUUUAACAAUAUGUCUUAAGUGGACAGGAACAUAAAUCUUUAACAAUAAAAAAAUUAUUUUCUAAAAUCCAUGUAUUUUGAAAUUCUGAAAGCACUUUGAUAGAUCAGUGUUUGUUCCGUAAAUAUUUGGGACAUAUUAUGUGUUCUAGUUUCUGCCUUAGACAUUGGACCUGCUUAGCCUGAUGUAAAGAAGUUCCCUAUUUAGAAUUCCAUCUAGCAAAAUAUCAGAUGAGGGAUAUUAGUCACUAGAAGAAAAGCCCCCAGAUCUCUAGUGGGUCUGUGAGGAUAGUUCCCAUAGUGACCCCAGGUCUCUAGUGGGUCUGUGAGGAUAGUUCCCAUAGUGACACUAUCAGUGUGAAGUAGGCCAAUUUAAACUGGGUUGCUGCACUGCACAUGAUCAGUUCCCACUGGCUGCUGUGAGCAAAGGCUUUACUGCUGUUCCUGCAGGAGUGUGCAUCAAUCAUCAGGUUAAGCCUGCAGGCAGGGUUCUGCCUUUGGUACAGGCCAUGCAUAGGCUUAGACAAGCAACUUGAUAUUUCACAAUGUCACAUAUCAAUGCACUUGAAUUAGUGAAGUAUUUUUGUAGUAUAAAUCAUUUUUCUGAUUAAAGAAAGAAAAUAUUUUUUUCUGGCUUACUAGUUUGAUUAAAAUUAACAAGUAGCUUUUUCAAAUAGCUUGUCGGUUGACUAGUCAAUACCUAGUCUCAUGCAUUUCAUAAGGAUCAGUUAUGACCCUGAAACAUUUUUGGAAGACCAGUCAUAAUUCUAAAUCUUUCUUCAACAACUGAAUAAGAUAUAUUAUAGCCAAUCAAUCUGUUUCCAUGGCAUAAUCUGUAGGCUGACUGUUCUUACGGAGAGUAAAAAUAUAUUGACAUGACAGCCAAAAGUCUAACUCCAUACAAAAGAGGUUUCAAUGGGUAAUCUUAGAGAGAACACAUGAUUAAUAAGGUUAUUAAAGGAGAGCCAUGUGUACAAUAUUUGCUCACCUAAAAUUAUAGUUUUCAAAAUUGAGGCCUCAAAAUGAACCACAUGGAUGGUUUAAAAUUUUCUUUGACAAUUUUUAAAUGUUUUUGAAAAUAACAUAAAAUUGCAAUAAAAUAAGAGCACCCAAUUUACUACAUACAAAAGAAAACAAUGACUAAAUACCAAAAUCAUAAAGCAAAC
rnacentral:lncRNA from 1 species